CAAAGGGUAGUUUAAUAAAAAUGCCAGUUUUGGGGAUUGGUGAUGGGGGUAGGCCCUCUCUUUUG
rnacentral:tRNA from 1 species